rnacentral:misc_RNA from 1 species
CUGAUGCCGGCGGCGCGCCCGAUGAGGUCAAACUCAAAGGGCCGCCGCUUUAAACAUCAUCCGCCCCUUUGUGAACCCGGCAUCGAGGUGAGCCUGAGCUUUAGGGGCCCAGGCAUACCAAAUCACUUCCCUGCCCAAACCAACCUGUCUUUUAUUGCCUGUCUCCCCAGACUGAAGCAAAAAAAAACAAAAACAUAUCUUA